GAUGAAGAACGCAGCGAAAUGCGAUAAGUAGUGUGAAUUGCAGAAUUCCGUGAAUCAUCGAAUCUUUGAACGCACAUUGCGCCCUCUGGUAUUCCGGAGGGCAUGCCUGUCCGAGCGUCAUUGCUGCCCUCAAGCACGGCUUGUGUGUUGGGCUCCGUCCCCCGAUCCCGGGGGACGGGCCCGAAAGGCAGCGGCGGCACCGCGUCCGGUCCUCGAGCGUAUGGGGCUUUGUCACCCGCUCUGUAGGCCCGGCCGGCGCUUGCCGAUCAACCAAAUUUUUAUCCAGGUUGACCUCGGAUCAGGUAGGGAUACCCGCUGAACUUAAGCAUAUCAAUAAGCGGAGGA
rnacentral:misc_RNA from 1 species